GUAUGAGCCAGUCCCAGACUGCUUUGAAAGGGCUGUAGUGCAGUAUUGUGAACUUGUCGAUGCGUGCCGUCUGAAGCUUGUACUCGGGCAGCACGUCUGCACCGAGCGACAGGACCUAAAACAGAAAAGACGUUAGAUUGUGUGCCUGCAGUGAGAAUCUGAUUCAUAAUCGACCGCAAUUUGUUCUUUGUUGAAUUAUUGUCUGUCAAGAGAAAAAACAAAAUGUCUAUCUACUGUAGCAUAUAUCCCAUUAUUGGUUUGACAUAUUUUGGGGCCUAUAAAUAUUAGAAAUGUUAACGGAAUCAAAUAUUCGAUUCGGAGGACUUUUAUUGUUUAUUGUUUUUACUUGACAGCUGUCCGUCAAAUCACAAGUGUCUCGAAUCAUUCCCUCUCGUUGUCAUUAUUUCAUUCCAGCUGAUGCAAUAUUUCACGGAGACAGUCAGAUCUUCACAUUUUCACAUCAAGUGUACUGUCUCUGGGAGCCUGCGAGCAAGGCAUAAAUAUUCAUAUCUUUAGAGUUGUCUAUACUGGCAGAAAUGGUCAUCUUACAUUACCUUUUUGUCAUCCAUUCCAGGUUAAUUCUGUUAAAAAGUUGUCUAGGAUUUAGUAUCCCGCUCGAGGGCUAAACAGUAAACAAGACUUCUGCCAAAUGUUACAGGAAAUGAUUUAAGAGCAAAACCCGUUUAGUGCUGUUCUCAGUGCUUUUUUCUCACUACUUUUUUUUUUUUUUUACCGAAUUUGGAGUUACUGACUCUUUAUAAUGUUGUUUAUUUCUCCAUAUACCCAUAUUAAACUGAUUUUAUUUCUUUGACAGCAAUAGUUCGUAUAGUGAAAUUUUGUAAAUAUAUUUUGUGUGCUUAAACAAUAGAAUAAAGUUAAACACUACACUACAGGUUAAAAAACUAAUAAAUAAAACAAAAAACGACACUAUUUCAUUUAGGUGUCUUUUGUAAUCUAAACUAUUCAGAAAAAACUCUGUACUGGGUUGUUUCCACGUCACUAGCCGGGUUUCCAUCCAAACGUGAUGCAAAUCUUUGUAAAGUUCGCAAUAACAGAAGGAAAAUCAAAAGCAAAUUGGUGCGUUUCCAUCAAGUCUGGAUCAUGGUGGUAUUGGUAACCUAGUAACCAACAGUAAAUAAAAAAGAUCCGGAAACCAGAAAGACACCAUCAGUGGUAACAGCCGCUUAGUCCCGUGGGUUUUUCGGCGUUCAAACCCAAACGAUUUUCACUGGCGAUGAGCCGAGUUAACAUGCAAAUUCACUCCCUGACAUAGAUGACGCUUAGUGAAAAACAGAAAUACCCCGGUACACUAGGUGGCGCUGCGCAACUUUAUGCUUCUGACACUCGCUUGUCAUAAUUUGCUUUUUUGCGAAUUAAGGGAUUUUAUUUCGAAAAUUGCCAUUUCCAUCACUCGUUUCUGAUGUGAAACUUCAAGAUGCGCAUAAAACCAGGGUGAUGGAAACCGGCUACUGUCUCCCAGCAUCAGUUGCAUUUGUUACAUUAGUUUUGCGUUUUUUCUUUGGAUGAAUAUAAAUUCUGUUACAGUGAAGCAUAUUUUUUAAGCAUUUCUAUUGCACAGGUGUUGAAUCAAAGCUUAAACAUAAAGAUGACAUUAAUUAAUAACCGUGAUAAGUGUUAUGUUAAUACUACACACACAAUAUUAUAAAUAAUAAUUUAUGGUUGACACAUCAACAUAGUAGGUUGCAUCCGUUUAACGUUGAGCUUUUACAGCCACAAUGGUUACAAACGGUCUGGUUGCCUCCCUACGCUCGUAUUGAAUGUGAUUCAUUGACCAAAAAAAGAGAAAAGACAAAAUAAACUAAAAAAGAAUUUGACUGGCAGCAUCAUUUAAUAUAAUUUCAACAGAUUUUGCAAGAAUGUUAUUUUGAGUUUUCUUGACCACGAUGUGUAGUGAAAAUCUGAUAUUGUGACAGGCCUAAACACAUUGUUUUUCUAUACAAUAUUAAGGUUUACUCUUUACCAUUUGCAAAGCCAUCAAAUAUCAGAAAUAAUUUAGAAACGGCAUUGGAAUGAUAAUAGUGAGUAAUCCAGUCAGUGUGUGUCUGUGAUGGAGUUCUUCAUCUUUCUACAGGAGUUAACCAACUUGGACAGUCAGCAAAUGAGGCGGCUUUUCUUCCUAAAUACUUCAUUAGAAAUCAUGACGCCAGCUAUAUCAGUUGCCUAAAUCUAUUUUUUCUCUCUCCUAAGAAAGUGAUGAAUUAUGUAUCUCCUCCUCUCGUCCGGCUCUCACUCGAGCAGGCAGGUUGGAAAGGUAAUGUGAGAAUCAAUCAGAUGUGACAUUAAACUAAAUGACCUCUGAGGAGUCGACGUUUGCUGCCGGAGCACUUCUGAUGGACCGCUGGUGUUCUCUGGAUGGGGUGUCAUCGACUUCAAUGUGUCCUGUUUCCAUCACAGCUGCUCGAGAUGCGGAUACAUUUAACGCCAGGUUCGAGUCGGAGGUCGAUCCUAGAUAACUGGACUUGAAAUGGUUGAAUGGACCUGACAGUAAGAAAAGCAACAUUGUUAAAGAAGAGAAAUACUCUCAGAAGACGAAAGUGGCUGUCGUGAUUAACAGCCGCCUGAAGUCAUUCAGCGUGUAGCAUUGAUUUUCUGUCCCGACCGCGAGUCCGCACAUCAGUCUCAUUUAGUGGAAUGUGAAAGGAAAGUUCCCGUCUCAAGUCUGAACAAUUUAGUCAUUCUAAUCCACCUGAACGCAGUACUUACCUUCACUUGCCUGCCUGUCAAAAAACAUCCGUUUGGAGUUCGCGCUGAGCCCUUCGAUGUCAUGGACGGAUGAAGCUCGUCGUCUGCUGCACA